rnacentral:rRNA from 1 species
AACGUAGGUUCCGAGCGUUAUCCGGAUUUACUGGGCGUAAAGCGUGUUCAGGCGGCUCAGCAAGUCGGGCAUGAAAUCUCUCGGCUCAACCGGGAGAGGCUGUCCGAUACUGCUGGGCUUGAGGGCAGUAGAGGGUGGUGGAAUUCCGGGUGUAGUGGUGAAAUGCGUAGAUAUCCGGAGGAACACCAGUGGCGAAAGCGGCCACCUGGACUGUACCUGACGCUCAAACACGAAAGCUAGGGGAGCAAACGGG